GCCCGUUGUUAUGAAGUAGAUGAACCAAAAGAACUUUCCAGCCUUCCACUCGAAGCCAAUCAUGGUAUAAAGGAUAAAACCGUAGAUGAUUGAUUGAAUUGUAACAUAAAUUGCCUCUAUUGCCACCUGAGCCAAUGCGUAAGGCAGUGCGGAAUACAUUCCAGCUGCUCUUUCACGGUAGAAAACUGUUCUUUCAAUUGCAACAAUGGGUUGCACUGAAGAAGUAUUGGUUGCACCAAGGAAAAAUAUUGCAGUAUACAUGGCUCCCAAAAGAUUCAUUAGAUCCUGUUGUUUGGUAGUCUUUUGCCCUUCGUUCCAAAAGAUGAGACCAAACAGAACCCCUAUGACUAUUGUCA
rnacentral:misc_RNA from 1 species